rnacentral:rRNA from 1 species
UACGGGGGGGGCAAGCGUUGUUCGGAAUUACUGGGCGUAAAGGGCUCGUAGGUGGCCAACUAAGUCAGACGUGAAAUCCCUCGGCUUAACCGGGGAACUGCUUCUGAUACUGCGAGACUUGAGAUCGGGAGAGGGAAGCGGAAUUCUGGGUGUAGCGGUGAAAUGCGUAGAUAUCCGGAGGAACACCGGUGGCGAAGGCGGCUUCCUGGACCGACACUGACGCUGAGGCGCGAAAGCUAGGGGAGCAAACGGG